rnacentral:rRNA from 1 species
CGGCGGACGGGUGAGUAAUGCCUAGGAAUCUGCCUGGUAUGGGGGACAACGUUUCGAAAGGAACGCUAAUACCGCAUACGUCCUACGGGAGAAAGCAGGGGACCUUCGGGCCUUGCGCUAUCAGAUGAGCCUAGGUCGGAUUAGCUAGUUGGUGAGGUAAUGGCUCACCAAGGCGACGAUCCGUAACUGGUCUGAGAGGAUGAUCAGUCACACUGGAACUGAGACACGGUCCAGACUCCUACGGGAGGCAGCAGAA